rnacentral:rRNA from 1 species
CAGUCGCCACGGUAAUACAGAGGGUGCAAGCGUUAAUCGGAAUUACUGGGCGUAAAGCGCGCGUAGGUGGUUUGUUAAGUUGGAUGUGAAAUCCCCGGGCUCAACCUGGGAACUGCAUCCAAAACUGGCAAGCUAGAGUAUGGUAGAGGGUGGUGGAAUUUCCUGUGUAGCGGUGAAAUGCGUAGAUAUAGGAAGGAACACCAGUGGCGAAGGCGACCACCUGGACUGAUACUGACACUGAGGUGCGAAAGCGUGGGGAGCAAACAGGAUUAGAUACCCCCGUAGUCCCUGUCUCUUAUAA